rnacentral:rRNA from 1 species
UACGUAGGGACCGAGCGUUGUCCGGAAUCAUUGGGCGUAAAGAGCGUGUAGGCGGCCACUUAAGUCCUGCGUGAAAUCUUGCGGCUCAACCGCAAGCGGUCGUGGGAAACUGGGUGGCUAGAGUGCGGGAGAGGAGAGUGGAAUUCCUGGUGUAGCGGUGGAAUGCGCAGAUAUCAGGAAGAACACCCGUGGCGAAGGCGGCUCGCUGGGACGGUACUGACGCUGAGGAGCGAAAGCAUGGGUAGCGAACAGG